UACGGAGGGUGCGAGUGUUAAUCGGAAUUACUGGGCGUAAAGCGCGCGUAGGCGGUGCGAUAAGCCGGUUGUGAAAGCCCCGGGCUCAACCUGGGAACGGCAUCCGGAACUGCCACGCUAGAGUGCAGGAGAGGAAGGUGGAAUUCCGGGUGUAGCGGUGAAAUGCGUAGAGAUGGGGAGGAAUACCAGUGGCGAAGGCGGCCUUCUGGACUGACACUGACGCUGAGGUGCGAAAGCGUGGGUAGCAAACAGG
rnacentral:misc_RNA from 1 species